CACGUAGGGCGCAAGCGUUGUCCGGAAUUAUUGGGCGUAAAGAGCUCGUAGGCGGUUUGUUGCGUCUAUCGUGAAAACCUGCAGCUUAACUGUGGGCUUGCGGUGGAUACGGGCAGACUUGAGUUCGGUAGGGGAGACUGGAAUUCCUGGUGUAGCGGUGAAAUGCGCAGAUAUCAGGAGGAACACCGGUGGCGAAGGCGGGUCUCUGGGCCGAUACUGACGCUGAGGAGCGAAAGCGUGGGGAGCGAACAGG
rnacentral:rRNA from 1 species